rfam:Coccidioides immitis RS mitochondrial scaffold supercont3.7, whole genome shotgun sequence.
GAGAGCCGUAUGCAGUGAAAGUUGCACGUACGGUUCGGAGGGAGGCUGAUCGUUGCCACUUGCGGGUGCGGGCAGUCGACCCUAC